GUGGGGAAUCUUAGACAAUGGGGGAAACCCUGAUCUAGCCAUGCCGCGUGAGCGAUGAAGGCCUUAGGGUUGUAAAGCUCUUUCAGCUGGGAAGAUAAUGACUGUACCAGCAGAAGAAGCCCCGGCUAACUCCGUGCCAGCAGCCGCGGUAAUACGGAGGGGGCUAGCGUUGUUCGGAAUUACUGGGCGUAAAGCGCACGUAGGCGGACCGGAAAGUCAGAGGUGAAAUCCCAGGGCUCAACCUUGGAACUGCCUUUGAAACUCCUGGUCUUGAGGUCGAGAGAGGUGAGUGGAAUUCCGAGUGUAGAGGUGAAAUUCGUAGAUAUUCGGAGGAACACCAGUGGCGAAGGCGGCUCACUGGCUCGAUACUGACGCUGAGGUGCGAAAGCGUGGGGAGCAAACAGGAUUAGAACCCCGAGUAGUCC
rnacentral:rRNA from 1 species